rnacentral:rRNA from 1 species
UACAGAGGUCCCAAGCGUUGUUCGGAUUCACUGGGCGUAAAGGGUUCGUAGGUGGCCAGGUAAGUUUGGUGUGAAAGCUCGGAGCUUAACUCCGAAAAGUCAUUGAAUACUAUCUGGCUGGAGGGUCGGAGGGGAGACUGGAAUUCUCGGUGUAGCAGUGAAAUGCGUAGAUAUCGAGAGGAACACCAGUGGCGAAGGCGAGUCUCUGGACGACACCUGACACUGAGGCACGAAAGCUAGGGGAGCAAACAGG